AUGGUUACAAUACCAUGGUGCUCCAAGAUGAUGUUUUCUGUCAUUCAAAAGAAAAAACUUAAGAUCGAAGUCUGUGAUGAGCUACUUUUUUCUAGUUUCAUCAUGGCCAAUGACAUUACUGUACAAUUAUUAGUAAGCGUGGUCGCUGUGAAGGAGGGAGAGCGACCAGGCCGGGUAACUCUCCUCCUCGGCUUCCACCUCUCUAAACUGAAUAACUGUCAGGUGCAAAUACUCAACAAUAUGGUGCCGCUUCACAGAGUUCUUCUACCUUUUUAUAGCAAUUUUGUGCUGUUUUAUCAACAUUAUCAAGCACUUUUAUACGUACACUUUCUUUUUCUUUUUUUAAAAAAAAUAUUUCUUGUGAAUUGGUUUAUUUUUCGUUUAGUUUAAUGAUGUGAACUGAUCAAUCCUCGUGUAAUAUUUUUUGUAUACAGUAGGGCUGUGCCAAUAGAAGUGAAAGAAUGUUUUGUUUUUUUUUUAUAUGUGAAACCAUGUUAUUUGACUCGGUGUACAGUAGAUGGAUUGUCAUUUGUAACCUCCAACUCCUUUUCUCACCUUCCAUCAUCCAUAUUGUUCUCUGUUUCGAAGCAGCGAUACAGUAUGUUGCCACGUAAAUUCAAGGAAUGUCUAUUGCUAUUAAGAUUGUAAAAUGUAAGGCAGCGUCAAAGAGCUGUGUUUCCUGCUUUGUAAAAUAUUUUGUCCCCUGUGAAGGACAGUAGGGCCGCUGCCAUUUGCUUGAUAAAUUCUAGUCGUCAUGUUGGCAAAUUGUAAGCGCCGAUCCAAAUUAUGGAUUACACGCGCAAACUAAAUUCUCUUGAUUGUAAUCCUUAAGCUAAACACAGAGGAUUUAGGCUGCAGUUUGUCAAAACAAAAGCCUGACACAGUGUUUGACACGGAUGUCAGCACUCAAAGAGUAAAGAAUAAGAGCAGAUGCUAUCGCUUAUCUAAAUCAUAUUUAAGAUUUGAAAUUUAAUUUCUUAAUGUAAUUAAUUUCUUAAGUGACCUUAUUGCCAUCCUUUUUGUCCAUGCAUGGUGGCUCAAUAUGAGCUCUCGUGCUUUGUAUUUUAUCAGAUGUUAUCCCCCUCUCCACCUUUAAUACCUAACGUCACAUUCAUGGUUGUACAUUCUGUACAUAGAGUUUUCUGGUUGCUGUUUUCAAUUUUUUUCUUUUCUUUUUUUUAAUUACAAAUGAGAUGUACAAAUAUAAUUCUUUGCUAAUAUAUAUCAUCAAAUAGAAAGAAAAUCUUAGGUCGAAAAUAAAAAUCAUUGACAAAUUUCAUUCAAAGCUUCAAGCAUUAGAUGUAGAGAGAUUCCAAGUCCGCUUUUUUUUUUUUUUUUUUCAUUUUGAUUUGUUUGUUUCAAGUGAAUCCAGAUUGGAUGUUUUGUGAUCUUAACAUUGGCCUAAAGACAGCUUUAAGAUGGACGGUCUAAACUUCACUGCACAGCCCUACACGGUGGUGUUUUUUUAAACUUCUGUUUCUUUUUGUAAGACUUUAAAAAGAGGGAUUGUAGGCGUUUCCGAUGGUGCUAAACAUUUUAUCUAAUCCAGAAAAAUGUAUUUGAUUGGAAGACAAAUAAACAUGUCUUGACAAUGACUGUUUUAAGUUCCUUGUAGUAAUGAAAAAUAACUAUUAUUUCACUCAUAUAAAUAUAUUAACAAAGGCAUUUUAACUUUGUACUUGAAAAAAUAAGGAUAACAAAUAAUGAAAGGUUUGCUAUAUUGUUUUAGACUAGAGAUUGCUGUAGUCGGUGCUUAUCUGUGGGAAAAUUGUGUGAGAAAAAAAAUGGUAAUAACUUUUACUGUAGCAUAAUGUAUGCUUAAUGCGCAUUGCUUCUUAAUCCUACAUUCCAUGCCACAAUAUUCUCCAUGUCUGUUUUCCGAAUGUUGUUUUGAACUGACGCUUACUUGUUUCUUUGUUUUUAAAAAAAAGAAGAAAAAAAAAAUCAGAAACAGCAUUUCAUUUUACUGGUCAAAGCAGGUCAAUACUUCAGUGAUACUGUUAACGCUCUGUGUGACUUUCUUUCUGUCAUAACUGUUUUAUGGCCUGUAUGGUUUUCCUCAAGACCAGUUCAUACAGCAAAUGUAGCAGUCAUUCUCUGCCCCAUAUUUACGUUUAGUGUUCAAAGAGAAGAUAAAGGCUUCGUAUGUACUUGUGCUGGAGAACACUUGAAUAAAUGUAUUGUUUUUGUGCAAAAAAAGAAUCACCAUGAGUCUUUCUUCUUUUUUUUAAUUUAUUGAUAUCUUGUAAAAUGUUUCUCUUGAUGUUACACUAAGAAAAUAUAUUUCAGAUGUUCAGCACCACCAUUAAGUGUGAAAUAUGUAUCAUCACCUUUUUUUUAAAGUUAGACCAUUAUCUGGCCCAAAACUGAAACUGACUGUGGCUAAUUAAUGACAAAGGUACUUUAAAAUAAUAUCAGUGUCACAUUACAGUUAAACCAAUAGAUGUGUUUAGACUUUUAGGGUGUCCAAGUAAGUAAGGCACAGGCUGUUGGACAUGACAGCCAAAGUGAUUCAAAAGUAUGAAUGAUUUUCAUUAACCAGACAUGGCUUCAUUGCUUCAUUUGCUAGCACUUGAAGACACGUAACACAUUUUAGUCUUCCAUUGUUAAUAUUUGUCCAUUGACAAACAAUAAGAUGAGUUUGAAAGCCAUUGAUAUUAAUGUGAAAAUGGGCAGCUGAAAUUACAUGUUAUGUCUGGUGUUCUAUGAUUAUUACUUGGAUACACUCACCGGGACCUUUAUUAGGCACUAGUUCUGGAUUAGACCUUCUUUUGACUUAAAAACUGUCUUAAUCAUUAAUUCUGGCAUAGAUUCCAGAAAUAUUCAUUUGAGAUUUUGCUCCAUAUUGACAUGAUAGCAUCACAGUUGUUGCAGAUUUGUUGGCUGCACAUCCAUGACACAAAUAUCCUGAUCCAUCACAUCCAAAUCUGUUGACUGUGGAUGCCGUUUGAGUACAGUGAGCUCAUUAUCAUGUUAAAGAAACCAGUUUGAGGUGAUUUGAGCCGUGACACGACACAGCGAGCUACUUGAGGUCACAAAGGGCUGGGCAUGGUCAUCAACAGUACUCAAGUUGGGUGUGACUGUUUAAGCUCAGUUUGUAGUAGAAGACUCAAAGAGUGCCAAGAAGAUAUCCUUCACACCAGCAGCAACCUGAACUGUUACAACUGUUAAAAGGCAGGGCAGAUUGUUUAAGCCAAAAGUUGACCCUACCAUCUAAAUUAGUGGCUCUCAAACGGUGGUCCGGGGACCACCAGGGGUCCUCGAGACAUAGAUUAGGGGUCUGCAAAAACAUGUUGUCACCUGGCACUUAGUGGCAUGUAAAUACAUGUCCAUCAUCCAAGGUUGAUAAUUGUUGCUAAUGAGCACAAUGGACAAAUAUUUAAGUCCACUUCGUCCAUUUAUGAAAAUGCACAACCAGCUAAAAUUAGAAAGUAUGACAACAGUUAUAUUAUUGAGUACCUUGAAUGACAAUGGAAGAACAAAAUGUGUUGUGUCUUCAAGUGUUAGCAUAUAAAGCAAUGAAGCCAGCCAAGCUAAAGCAGCAUGUCAUCACAAUGUACCCAGAAUUUUAUCAGCAUGAGGACUAUAAUUGGGUCCUUGGAAAAAUUUUCCCCCGUAAGGGGGUAUUUGUUAAUUUGUAACUUAAUCUGUAAUUGUGGUAUAGCCUACAAUAUCUAAAUUAUGCAGAAUAAAAUGAUAAAAGUAUAAAUUAAAGUAUAAUUAUAAUGUAGUACAAUUAGAAAAUUAUAAGCCUGUGACUGUCAGGAGCCUGUUAGCCCGUGAACAUUGAUAUUCAGAUCCAGUUUCCAUGCUGCUCCAGCAGAGGAUCUCUCUGUGUCUUGGCACCUGAGUUCACUACGACUCACUGCUUUAAAUACAGGUGACAGCCUGCAGCUCCCCUUUGAUCACAUUAAACCUGAACAUGCUGCCAUUCUCCAGCUUCUAAUUCAGCCAUCAAUCAGAGCUGAUGAGUCGCCUGCAGUUACACUUUCUGCUAGUACCAUAUUCUUGCUUGCAAUAGUAUUUCUUCUUCUUUUCCCCCUUUACCUCAUUUAUAGCUGUGGCAGAUGAAGCUGAAGUCGUUGCAAGAUAACGCACAAAAGGUAAACGAGCUACUUAUACCUCAAGGUGAACCUCAUAAAGAUACAUAAUCCUUUAAAUCCGUUACAUUAGUACUAACCAUGAAUCCUAAGGGUACUUCAAUCAGCCUUACUGUACUGCUGUCUUCAUAAUCACCCUCUUGAUCUGAUAGUGGUACGGCCUCCUCAGAGUGAACACGCCCUAAGUCCAAAUUAAUUGGGUGCUUGGGCAACCAAGCCUUCACUGAACGCUGCUGAUUGGAGCGUCACACAGUCGCACGGCCUGGAUGCUGCGAGCUGCGUCAAGUUAAUCAAAGAAACACCGGAAGUGUGGUGAUUUUCCUACAAAAUAAAAUAAAGCAGCA
ensembl:lncRNA